rnacentral:lncRNA from 1 species
AGCCCGGUCCACCACAGCCUUCAGCAGCGACACUCGCAGACUCCGACCUCUCAGACCGAGUGAGCCCAGCUAAGCCGUUAGGCGCGCGCCUGAACCUCAGCGCUCCGAACUCUCAGACCGAGACAGCGGGCUGGGAAGCCAGGGGCCGCCGGGACCUGGGGCUGGAAACCACAUCUGCCCACAGCCGCAGCCUCCUGCACCUGUCAUCCUGGCGGCGCCCUGACGUCGGAGAAGCAGCAGGCGCGGAGCUCCUGCAGCGGGCACCGCUGCAGCAACCCGACCCGGCGCAGGCGGCAGUGGAAGGCGGCCUGCUAGCACGGCUCCCGCGGCCCCAGGACCAGGGGUGCGGCCAGCACCGCCCUCACUCCCCGCGUCUCGUGGAUAUUGCCCUCCCUGGAGGCGGCUGGACCUAAGCGAGGCUCGCAGCGAUCGGCCCCGCGAAGACUCGCAUGCAGGGCUCAGGAUCCCGCAUUCUGGCGCCGCGGCACCGCACCUUUCAGCAGCCCUGCUCCUCUUCUUGUUGGUAAACUUUUGUCACUCUGCCAUGAAAAGCAUCCAGGCGUCCUUGAUUUCGACAUUGCGUGCACGCUCAGCCGAGCUCAUCAGACGGGCGGUUGUCCCCAGAGCCCGCGGGUAGCUUGUUCCCGGGCGGCGGCUCCUGCUGGAUGCAGCUCCUUGUGGGCCUACCAGGCUUGGUGGAGCCACAGCAGACCUGUGGAGAGGAAGAGUAAGGCGGGCUCUGCAGGGCAGUGGGCC